CUGACAUGUUCUCGUUCCCCUGCAGCACGAGGAUGUCACAGCCAAGGUCAUGGGCCAGCUUCACAUCAUCCGGCACUUGCACCAGAUGCCCGAGGCGCUGCAAGGGCUGUGGCUCAUCUGAUGCUCUUAAAGGUUCCUCUCCCUGUUCAGCAAGUCCCGCUCCCUGCUGCAGAGUCUGACAUGAAGAGGAGCCUCCUCCCCCCGUAUCUUCUAGGCCCCGGGGUGUGUGACAGCCUCCCAGAUGGCUGCAGUCAGAAGCUGAACCACCUCAGGGAGCAGUGGGGACAGGUCCCUUGUCCUAGGAAACCAAGCAGUGGAAGUUCUCAAAGAGGCUGAGAGGGAAGAGCCCGCUCCCUCAUGGAGCAAGAGGCUCCUCAGAGAGCUCCUCAAACCUGUUCUCCUGGGAGCGUUUCUGGGAGGAGGCUCCCGUCCCUCAGUCUUCAACUCCAUCAUGCAGUCUCUUUCACCUAACAUCUCCGCUCUCCAGCUCCACUUCCCGCAGCGGGAGAAACGGACCUUCAGCUCCCAAAGAACAGACUCUGACCUCCUUCUGAUCAGCAAUGGGGUUUCACCAUCCCUUCAGCCAACCUGUCAGCUGGGCUGGACCGGAUUUGAAGGAGGAGGGUAUCUAACAGGGUGGCUUGGCCUAUGGCUGCCUAGCCUGGGGCUAGGCCAAAUUGAUGACCAAGUGAGCCCCACCUGAGGGGACACAAGUGAAAACAUCAGCAAAAGUACAGAAGCAAAGCGAGCUGUUCAGUAGACGGCCUUGGUCCAAACCCUGGAGUCCAGGGUAGGACUGGCUUCUCUCACCGUCCCUAAGGAAGGGGACAUAGAAGACCCUAGAAACCCAAGAAGGGCAGGCCGAAGCAAAAUCAGGCUGAGGAAGAACUCCCCACGAGGGUGGAAGGCCUUGUUUCUGUUCAAGAUAUUUUUGGACUUUGUUUGCAAGGAGCUUGACCCAGGAAGGAGUGGAGUAAAGGACAGUCACCUGGUUGGAGGGCUGAGUUCCCAGCCAACAAACUGCAAGAACCCUCUGUUCUCCUUCUGGGGUGCCUGGACCCUGAUUGUAACAUCUCUCUGGCCCAGCCUCUUACACAGAUGUGUGCUGCAGCCAGCCCAGUGCAGGGAGCAGUGGGGACAGAUGAUCUCCUCCUGUCAGACCAAGCAACAUGAGUCCCAUUGAGGCUUAGAUGGAAGAUCCCAGGCAUCUCCUGGAGAGGAUGCAUCCGGGACCCUGGAGACUGUUUCGUGCAGGAGGUUUGAGCUGGGAGAGAUCACUCACUGUCCUGACCCAUGGGUCAUUAACCCGGGUCUGCAGGGUUCCUGGGAGCAGCCACCCUCCAGCAUGCCACCUGGAAGCCUACGAAAAACUGCUUAAGCUCGGACUGACGAAGUCCAGACCCAGUUUGAGGCUCCUAUUGGCAGAGUCCCAGGGCAGCUAAAUGGCCCCCGGGACCUCAUUAAACCAGCAGCAGGAACAAGAAGCUGUCUGAACAGCCGCGCUCCUCCCCGGCUCUGGACCGUUUGUUGGCUGUUCCUGCUCCCACUCCCCAGGCUUGAUUUCCUGGCAUCCGGACUCGGGUUGACUCAUCUGAUUUGAGGUUCUGAACACAAUUUGGUUUUUUGCUUCUGCUCUUCCCGUGUCCUGACCCAGCUGACUCUCGACUCCUGUCUUGGGAGUGUGGACUCUGCCUCUGACCACUAGGUCUGGGUGCCCAUGACCCAGCCAUGACACUGACUUUUCUUCAAUUCCUCCAAUGCCCUUUUCUGCUCUCCAGCUCUGCUCUCCCAGCAAGACACACCGAUCCCUUGGCUCCCAGAGUCCUGCUUGCCUGCUAGUCAAGGGCUCAGGGGGAGUGUUUGUCUUGCUUCCUCCCCCACCACAGCUUCUUUUCCUCGGGGACUCUCCCUAGCGCAGAGGAGAAUCCGUCCUGGCAGCAAUUCAGGAAGUCACAGAAGGGAUGGUCUGCUCAGCUCCCUCUGCAAUGCCACUGCCCGAGACCAUUACGAGUGAGUGCCCAGUGACUGAGCCGGCAGCUCCUUGAGAGACUCCUGGGGGCAGCGUAGUCGUGUUUCACGGUGACGGCGUGGCAUUGAAGAGACUCUCCUGCUGUCCCAAAGGGUUUCUGUUCUCCUGCACGGUCAGACCGUGGGGCCAGGUUGCAGAAUGGGGAAGAGCUGUUUGGCGAUGAGUCGGAGGAUUCACCAUACAGGUGGCUGCAGCUGCCGAACCUGGAGUCCCUGUGGUAGGGUUACCAUGCAUCCAGAUUUUCCCGGACAUGUCCAGGCUUUUGGGGUUUUAAAUUGCCCUCCGGGAGGAAUUUGUCAAACUCUCCAAAGGUCCAGGAUUUUCCUCCCAAUGCAGCACUCUGGAGGCCGGGGGGGGGAGCUGCACGCUCUGCGGGGGAGCGCUGAACUGUGUCUGGCUCCGCACCCCAGACACAGUGCUCUGAG